CUUUUUAGGGCGGCACCUGUGCCAUAUGGAGGUUCCCAGGCUAGGGGUCUAAUUGGAGCUACAGCUGCUGGCCUACACCACAGCCACAGCAACACCAGAUCCGAGCCACAUCUGCAACCUACACCACAGAUCCCGGCAACGCUGGAUCCUUAACCCACGGAGCGAGGCCAGGGAUCGAACCCGCAACCUCAUGGUUCCUAGUCGGAUUCAUUAACCACUGCACAACGAUGGGAACUCCAAUAUAUCCCUCUUUUCUUGAACUAUGUUCUGAGGUUGCAAAGAAAGCUGUAUAUACGAAAUUCUAGAGAAAUAACGGCUCACUCCUUUCACUUGUCCACAAAACAAACUUGUAAAGGCAGUAAGUACAUGCGAAAUAAUAUAGUGCCUUUCACACAAAGAAUCACUGUCCAUACACAUUACUCGUUAUUCAUAAUGACUAAACCCAUAAAAUAUUUCCCAGAAAAGACAAAGGCCAAGUGUUCAAAGGCAAUAACCACUACCCCACAGUAAACGUGCAAAAGCCAAGUCACAGGCUGGUGUCUGUCCUUUACAUCAAUAGCCCCCAGCACGCAGACGACGGCAGGUUAAAGCUGCCGCGGCUCGAGGCAGCUCCCGUCCGGAGUCUCCUCACGUUUUCUACUUGGUUUAUCAUUUUUAUUCAUCCAUUCAUUUGUUCGUUCAUUCGUCUUCCACGGAGCAGCAGCACUGUUCCCAAAAAAGGAAAUGUACUGGCUUCAAGAAAUAUAACCCGGAGUCCCCAUUGUGGCGCAGCCGAAACGAAUCUGACCAGGAACCAUAAGCUUGAUAAGCUUGCAGGUUCACAAGCUGAACACACUAGAAGCAUCCUGCUGCUCCCUACGUUCCCCAGGAAAGUUGUCAAGAAAAUGCCAAGAGAGCAAAACUGACCUAUAAAGUUUAGAAAUCACAAUGAUGAUUUUCCUGGGGAAUGUAGGGAGCAUGACUAUACUGGUCAAUUUUUCUUGAAAUAUCCAAGCGCAGGCUUCGGACCCCUGGCCUCAGAAAGUGAAACAACUCCAGGUACAAAAAUAUAUGCUGCUUGGAGAAAAUAUGCUGUUAAAAUAGAGAACACCUAGGAAGUAGAAGAGAAUUUUAAAGAUCUGAAGUUGGCUCACUUAUUCAUUUCGGCAAAGAUGCUGAAAUUAUCCAUGAGGCCAUUGGUUGCUACAUGCGGGUGAUAACCAGGAGGUUGAUAGGGAGAGAAAGAGGAGAACACUCAAGAAUGGGAAACGUACAAGCUUUUACACAGCAAAGGAAACCAUUAAAAAAAAAAAAAAAAAAAGGACAAACUAUGAAUGGGAGAAAAGAGUUGCAAACAAUGCAACCAACAAGGCUUAAUCUACAAAAUAUACAAACAACCGAUACCACUCAACAAAAAACAAACAACCCAAGUGAAAAAUGAGCAGAAGACCUAAAUAACCAUUUCUCCAAAGGAGACAUAUGGAUGGCCAGCAGGCACAUGAAAAAAUGCUCAACAUCACUAGUUAUUCGAGAAAUGCAAAUCAAAACUACCACGAGGUACCCCCUCACGCCAGUCAGAAUGGCCAUCAUUAAUAAGCCUGCAGGAGGUCCUGUCGUGGCUCAGCAGAAACAAAUCUGACGAGUAUCCAUGAGGACCCACGAGGUUCCAUCUCUGGCCUUGUUCAGUGGGUUAAGGUUGGCAUUGCUGUGAGCUGUGGUGUAGGUCACAGACAGGGCUCGGACCUGGUGUUGCUCUGGCUGUGGUGUAGCCUGGUGGCUACAGCUCCGACUUAACCCCUAGCAUGGGACCCUCCAUAUCCCACAGGUGCAGCCCUAAAAAGCAAAAAGUCUACAAAGAACAAAUGCUGGAGAGAGCAUGGAGAAAAAAGUACCCUCCUAUACUGUCAGUGGAAAUAUAACUUGAUACAACCACUAUGAAAAACAGUAUGGAGGUUUCUCAGAAAAGUAAAUAUAGAGCUACCGUAUGAUCCAGCAAUCCCACUCCUGGGCAUAUAUCUGGACAAAACUUUCACUGAAAAAGACACCUGCACCCCUAUGUUCACUGCAGCAGUAUUCACAAGAGCCAAAUGGUUGUUUCCAUUUAAGUUGGUGGAAACAACCUAAACAUCCAUGACAGACGAUUGGAUUAAGAAGAUGUGGUAUAUGUACCCAAUGGAACGCUACCCAGACAUUAAAAAAGAACAAAAUAGUGCCAUCUGCAGCAACAUGGAUGGAACCAGGGAUUCUCAUACUUAGUAAGUGAAGUUAAGUCAAAAAGAGAAAGACAAAUACCAUGUAUCACUCAUGUGUGGAAUCUAAAGUGUGGCACCGAUGACCAGAAACAGACUCACAGACACAGAGGACAGCCCUGUAGCUGCCAAGGGGGAGGGGAAGGGAGUGGGGUGGAGGGAGUUUGGGGUUAGUAGAUGCAAACUAUCACUUUCAGAAUGGAUAUGCAAUGAGGUCACAGGGAACUAUAUCCAAUUGCUUGUGACAGAACAUGACAGAAUAUGAGAAAAAGAAUGUAUGUAUACAUAUAACUGGGUCACAUUGCCGUACAGCAGAAAUGGACAGAACAUUGUAAAUAAACUAUAG
rnacentral:lncRNA from 1 species